rnacentral:tRNA from 1 species
GGUUGUAGCUCAGCGGUAGAGCGCUUGCCUAGCACACGUGAGAUCCUGGGUUAGAGCCUCUGCACCA